ACCGGUAGCUCAGCGGUCAGAGCAGGGGACUCAUAAUCCCUUGGUCGGGGGUUCAAAUCCCUCUCGGUCC
rnacentral:tRNA from 1 species